rnacentral:rRNA from 1 species
UACGUAGGGAGCAAGCGUUGUCCGGAUUUACUGGGUGUAAAGGGUGCGUAGGCGGCUUUGCAAGUCAGAUGUGAAAUCUAUGGGCUCAACCCAUAGCCUGCAUUUGAAACUGCAGAGCUUGAGUGAAGUAGAGGCAGGCGGAAUUCCCCGUGUAGCGGUGAAAUGCGUAGAGAUGGGGAGGAACACCAGUGGCGAAGGCGGCCUGCUGGGCUUUAACUGACGCUGAGGCACGAAAGCGUGGGUAGCAAACA